GACGAACGUUGGCGGCGUGCUUAAUACAUGCAAGUCAACUGAAGCAGUGGUAGCAAUAUCGCUGUGGGGGUGUCGCACGGGUGAGUAACACGUAGGUAAUCUGCCUUCAGGUCUGGCAUAACUCCGAGAAACCGGGGCUACUAGCAGAUGAUGCAGCAUCUCGACAUCGAGACAGUGGUUAAAGCUAUCGCGCCUGAAGAUGAGACUGCGUCUGAUUAGCUAGUUGGCGGGGUACCGGCCCACCAAGGCAACGAUCAGUAGCUGGUCUGAGAGGAUGAUCAGCCACACUGGAACUGAGACACGGUCCAGACUGAUACGGGACGCAGCAGUAAGGAAUAUGGCGCAAUGGGAGAAAUUCUGAAGCAGCAGCGCGGCGGGAGGGACGAAGGGCUGUGGCUUGUAAAGCUCUGUAGUGAGAGAAGAAAAUCCCAAUCUUAGGGACAUGACGGUACCUCAAGAGUAAGCCCCGGCUAACUACGUG
rnacentral:rRNA from 1 species